rnacentral:rRNA from 1 species
CAGUAGCCACGGUAAUACGUAGGUGGCGAGCGUUGUCCGGAAUCAUUGGGCGUAAAGGGAGCGCAGGCGGUUGUGUAAGACAGGUGUGAAAUCCCCGGGCUUAACCUGGGAACUGCGCUUGUGACUGCACAGCUAGAGUAUGGCAGAGGGGGGUAGAAUUCCACGUGUAGCAGUGAAAUGCGUAGAGAUGUGGAGGAAUACCGAUGGCGAAGACAGCCCCCUGGGCCAAUACUGACGCUCAUGCACGAAAGCGUGGGGAGCAAACAGGAUUAGAUACCCCCGUAGUCCCUGUCUCUUAUAA